UCUGUGAUGGUAGUGUAUUGGACUACCAUGGCGGUAACGGGUAACGGAGAAUUAGGGUUCGGUUCCGGAGAGGGAGCCUGAGAAACGGCUACCACAUCUAAGGAAGGCAGCAGGCGCGUAAAUUACCCAAUCCUGAUUCAGGGAGGUAGUGACAAGAAAUAACAACCUGGGGGUUUCAUAACCUUACGGGAUUGCAAUGAGAACAAUUUAAAUAACUUAGCGAGGAACAAUUGGAGGGCAAGUCUGGUGCCAGCAGCCGCGGUAAUUCCAGCUCCAAUAGCGUAUAUUAAAGUUGUUGCAGUUAAAAAGCUCGUAGUUGAACUUCUGUUCGCUCUCAGACGUGGCUUGCCAGUUUGGGGGUGAACAUCCGUUUGCAAACCYUAUUCGUCCUUUACUGGUACGGUGGGGGGAGUAGACAUUUUACUUUGAAAAAAUUAGAGUGUUCAAGGCAGGCAAUGGUCUGAAUACAUUAGCAUGGAAUAAUGGAAUAGGACUCAUGUCCAUUUGGUUGGUUAUUGGAUAGGAGUAAUGAUUAAUAGGGACAAUUGGGGGCAUUAGUAUUUAAUUGUCAGAGGUGAAAUUCUUGGAUUUAUUAAAGACUAACUUAUGCGAAAGCAUUUGCCAAGGAUGUUUUCAUUAAUCAAGAACGAAAGUUAGGGGAUCAAAGACGAUCAGAUACCGUC
rnacentral:rRNA from 1 species